UAGUGAGUUUGAUCCUGGCUCAGGAUGAACGCUGGCGGCAGGCUUAAUACAUGCAAGUCGAACGCAAGUAGAAAUACUUGAGUGGCGGACGGGUGAGUAACGCGUGGGUAACCUGCCCUGUACACACGGAUAACAUACCGAAAGGUAUGCUAAUACGGGAUAACAUGAGAGAGUCGCAUGGCUUUCUUAUCAAAGCUCCGGCGGUACAGGAUGGACCCGCGUCUGAUUAGCUAGUUGGUGAGGUAAUGGCUCACCAAGGCGACGAUCAGUAGCCGACCUGAGAGGUGAUCGGCCACAUUGGAACUGAGACACGGUCCAAACUCGUACGGGAGCAGCAGUGGGGAA
rnacentral:rRNA from 1 species